GUGAUAGCUCAGUUGGUAGAGCAUGAGACUCUUAAUCGCAUGGUUAUGGGUUCAAGCCCCACGUUGAACA